rnacentral:lncRNA from 1 species
GGCAGCGGUGGCGGUAGCUCUUUCCCAUUUUAAGCUUCGCGAGGAGAGGAGUGGAGUCUUUACCCGGUUGAUUCGUUCUUGUGGACUAGGCGUUCACCUUCCGUCCCGGUUUUAUUGUAAAAAGUGUAGAUUGGGUGAACUUCAGAACCUUUGAAGAUUGUUGCAGAGAUUUCUUUCCCUAAAAUGCCAGAACAUCUGAGCUUUUACUUUUAUAUGAAGAACAUGAAAACAAGAAAUUAUGCUGGACCAUCAAAGUCAACAGAACCAGAUUUUGAAUAUGUUCAGUCAUUGAAGAAAACCAUCAUCUUUUUUAAAGAAAGAAAUAAUCUUAUUCUUCCAAAUAGUUGAAAUGUAAAGAACACAUUUAUGUUUUCAGAAAAGUACAAAGGCUUGAAAUGCAAGAAAGUAAAUUCAAAUGUAAGGCCUGUUUAAAAUUCAGCAUUUAGGAAUGACAACAGAAAAGUCAUGUCAAGUAUUUAAAGAAUGAAUUGUAUAUUUAGUGAUUUCAAAAGUCAUACAACUACCAACCUCUGUGGGAGAGAAGUUAGCCCCCUUACUAAAAAAGAGUUUUCAGUACUAUUUACAAUGUAUUAAAAGGUUAUAGAACUUUAAUAUUGAGAGAGCAAUAGAAUUUCAAGAAAAAGUAUUAGAUAUGCAGGGUAUUGUUUACCUACAUAAUAUAAUACCUCAAGAGUAAACACAGAUGCCACAGUGGAUAGUGCAAUCAGGAAUAUGCAAUCAAAUCCUACCUCCUAUACUUAAACUAGCUGUGUGACCCCAGGCAAGUCAUUUAGUUUUGUCUCAUGUAAAAUAGGAUAACAAUGACAUCUAAAGAAUUUAUUUGCAGCCCAAUUCAGUCACCUACUAAAUGGGUAAUAUUUAUUGCUGUAAAGAAUUUGUAUUUUCAAUACAUAUUUUAUUUUCUUGUCUACUAAAUGAUUGUGGCUUAAUAAUACAUAUUUGAAAAUAAACUUCAUUGCAAUUUUGUCCUGUAAUGCUGAAAAAUAAAUUCGUUCAAAAUUUUC